rnacentral:lncRNA from 1 species
UUUUUUCAUUUUUUAGGGAUUUUCAUUUUUUAAGAAUUACACUAAAGCCCUCCCCAUACCUAAAUCAUGCAUUGUCCUCAAUGUAUGCAAAAGAGAGAAUUGAAAUGAGAGAGUAAAGAGAAAAUACCUGAAAUGGAUAUGAAGGGGAUUUUUAUUAACGAACGAAACACUAACACUACCCACGCACACACACAUUUCCUUCCCCAUACCUGAACUUCAUGAAGGAAGGUUUGAAGACGGAAGCAAAUCAACCAAUUCCGGAAGGAAAGAUGGGAGGAAGCUUCGAGAAAGAGUCAAAAUAUUUUCGAAAAUUUUUAUGCACAAAGACUUUCUCUAGCGUGUGACAAUCGUUCAUCCCUAUAGGACAAGUAUCACUAAUGUUCUCCCUAAACCAACUUAAUGCUUCUUUAUUAUCAAGCAAAUUAGAAACUAUGAAAUGUUGGUCAUGGGAUAAAUCACUAGGAACGAUGUAAGAAAUGAUGUCAUC